rnacentral:rRNA from 1 species
CAGCUACACAUGCAGUCGAGCGGAUGAAGAGAGCUUGCUCUCUGAUUCAGCGGCGGACGGGUGAGUAAUGCCUAGGAAUCUGCCUGAUAGUGGGGGACAACGUUUCGAAAGGAACGCUAAUACCGCAUACGUCCUACGGGAGAAAGCAGGGGACCUUCGGGCCUUGCGCUAUCAGAUGAGCCUAGGUCGGAUUAGCUAGUUGGUGAGGUAACGGCUCACCAAGGCGACGAUCCGUAACUGGUCUGAGAGGAUGAUCAGUCACACUGGAACUGAGACACGGUCCAGACUCCUACGGGAGGCAGCAGUGGGGAAUAUUGGACAAUGGGCGAAAGCCUGAUCCAGCCAUGCCGCGUGUGUGAAGAAGGUCUUCGGAUUGUAAAGCACUUUAAGUUGGGAGGAAGGGCAUUAACCUAAUACGUUAGUGUUUUGACGUUACCGACAGAAUAAGCACCGGCUAACUUCGUGCCAGCAGCCGCGGUAAUACGAAGGGUGCAAGCGUUAAUCGGAAUUACUGGGCGUAAAGCGCGCGUAGGUGGUUUGUUAAGUUGAAUGUGAAAGCCCCGGGCUCAACCUGGGAACUGCAUCCAAAACUGGCAAGCUAGAGUAUGGCAGAGGGUGGUGGAAUUUCCUGUGUAGCGGUGAAAUGCGUAGAUAUAGGAAGGAACACCAGUGGCGAAGGCGACCACCUGGGCUAAUACUGACACUGAGGUGCGAAAG